GUCGGGAAUUUUGGGCAAUGGGCGAAAGCCUGACCCAGCAACGCCGCGUGAAGGAUGAAGUAUUUCGGUAUGUAAACUUCGUAAGAAUAGGAAGAAUAAAUGACGGUACUAUUUGUAAGGUCCGGCUAACUACGUGCCAGCAGCCGCGGUAAUACGUAGGGACCAAGCGUUGUUCGGAUUUACUGGGCGUAAAGGGCGCGUAGGCGGCGUGGUAAGUCAGCUGUGAAAUCUCCGAGCUUAACUCGGAACGGUCAGCUGAUACUGCUGUGCUAGAGUACAGAAAGGGCAAUCGGAAUUCUUGGUGUAGCGGUGAAAUGCGUAGAUAUCAAGAGGAACACCUGAGGCGAAGGCGGGUUGCUAGGCUGAUACUGACGCUGAGGCGCGAAAGCUAGGGUAGCAAACGGGAUUAGAAACCCUAGUAGUCC
rnacentral:rRNA from 1 species